GUGACGUGAUGAAGCAGUUUAUCCAUUCUCUGAGUUCUGCUGGUGCUCGCACUCUCUGCGGCUCUCGCGUCUGUUCUAGGCACGAGAGUUUCCGGCUGCCUGCGCCUCUCCCGCAGGUCCAGUGUUCUACUGGUUCUGUGGUCAGAGACCGCAGGUGGGCUUGCAGGGAUGAAGCCUGGCCCUCACAAAGACGAGUGUAAACGGCUGAUCAC